UGGUGAUGAUGUUCUGGAUGUUAUCAUGUUGCAAAUAACAUUACCUCCUGAGGGGGGAACCUAGAAAAAAUAAAUCAUGGCCAAUCUGUAGGCAGGACUCACUGCGGGCCUCUGACGGUUACAACGUAAUGGCUUAAGGAAUUGACAUUGAGGUGAGAGAAACGAGUAACCUGCUUGUCUUGAUGCCAGUCUGUUGUCUAGUUCACCAGAAGGGUGCUGUGGUGUUCUCCAGGGAAGAGGCUGAAAGAGGUGGGCUGGUGUGUUUUGGCCACUGGGAGGUUACUCAGCUGGGGAGCAGAGAGUCAACUUGUCCAGCCACACUGUGGACAGGUGUGUGUAAAUAUGUUGCAUCAAUAACAUAUUAAUUGGUGCAAUAUCUGUGUCAAGUAAAAAGAUAAACAUUUCUCAAAAUAAGAAAACAACUUGUUUAGAUGGUGUGACUGGAAACUCUGGCUGUAACCGUACCUCAAUAAUAUAACUGCACUACACAUUUUAUAAUAUACUAAUUAUUUUUACUUUUUAAAUUUGCCUUUGAUUAUCAGAAAGACAUGUAGGCACGAGGUUUAAAGAGUCAAAUCUAUGAUUCUCACACCCCAUGCCAGGUAACCUCUUUUAACAUUUUAAACUGAUUAUUUUGACAUUUAUUUCCAUACCUCUAAAUAAUAUGAUUAUAUCCAUACAGCUUUGUUUUUAGGCCUUAUCUCUAGACUUGCCAGAAUGGAAGAAGAUGGGUUAGUUCUCUUUACUCUCACUCUGCAUAUGCAUGUCUUUCCAAUGUGUAAAAUGGUUUUGAGAGUAGAGUCUUGUAGUCUACUUGCCACUUAAUAGCUGGGCGUGUCACUUAACCUCUGUAUGUUUCAGUUAGAACUCUCAUCUGUAAAAUGGGAAUAGAAAUAGUACCUACUUCAUAGGAUUUUUAAGAGUCGUUGUUAGGUGCCCUCAGGUCUGUUUUGACUCACUGACCCCAUGUGACAGGUAGAACUGCCAUAUAGGAUUUUUUAGGCUGUAAUCUUUAUGGGAGCAGAUCGCCAGGUCUUUAUCCUGAGGAGCCACUGGGUGAGUUCAAAUCACUAACCUUUUGGAUAGCAACCGAGUGCUUAACUGUUGUACCACUGAAGCGCACUUUAAGAGUACAUGUAAAAUAGUUGGAAUAGUGACUAACGCAUCUGCUAUGUGUUAUUUUUUAUUAUUAAAUCGUGAUUACUUUCUUUCUUGUGCAACUCCUUUACUAGUUUUCUGUGUACUUUAAUUUACCCCAAACCUUCCCUCAGUUGUGUAGAUUUCUUUUUAGUAUAUUUUAAUGCAUCCAGCAUGUUAUCAUUUGGUUUCACAUUCUUGAAGCAGUCUUUUCCAGAGUCUUCUGACCUCUCCAGCUUGAAUUAGCUGAUUCUGGGUUUGCCUUAUAGCUUUUUUGGGGGGCUCAUCUCUCGUCAUUCUGGAGGUUUCCUUUACCCUCUCCUGUAGUAUCCUCUGAUUCCUGGGUCCCGUGCCACCUUUCUUCUGCCUUGUUUUGGUGGAGGGCAUUCUCUGGGAGUCUUCUGAAAGACUGUAUGGGAGUGAGUAUUUUGAGACCUUUCGUAUUUGAAAAUGUUUCUAUUCUGUUUUCAUACUUGACUCUUAUUGAGGUUAUUUCUUUUGGAUCGAAGUCAGAUUGACUAGAUAAGUAUUUUCAAAUCUGCCUUUUUCCAGUGUCUUGGGAAGUAUAGAGAAAGACAGAUGGAGUUUCAGCAUUCAGAACAUAAGUUUUAGCUUAACCUUCUCAUUUUCUAUAUGCAGCCCUUGCCUUUGGCUUCUGCUUGUUGUAUCUUCCAGUCCAGAGACCCUCUCCUUUGUCCUUUAUAACAAAUAAACCUUGCAUCUUCUGCUGGGGUAGAGACUGGCAGCUGCCUGACUGUGCUGUCUGACAGAGGGGAUCCAGGGCUCUGACCAGACCUGGGCUAGACUUACCCAGUUCUUUAGCCCCACCUUUAGUCCUACUUUCAGUGAUUCCUUGUGCUGUAGUUUUCAUGGUAUAAAUUAGGCCCCUUAGUUUUCUCCUCUGCCACUUUAACCAAAACAAAACCCGUUGCCGUCAAGUCAAUUCCAACUCAUAGUGACCCUAUAAGACAGAGUAGAACGGCCCAUUUACAAGGAGCAGCUGGCGGAUUUGAACUGCCAAGCUUUUGGUUAGCAGCCUGAGCGCUUAACUACUAUGCCGCCAGGGCUCUGCCACUUUAGUAGGAGUUAACGAACGUAGCAGAUCCAGGUAAACUAUUACACGUGCUUCUCUUUUCUAACGUCACCUUUUAUUUACUCUUGUCUCUUCUCCCAUUUUCUCCGUUCUUGACUUUCCUGUUUUUAGAGGGAUGUCAGGAGGAAGUUGAGUACAUGCAUGUGUUCAGUCCCUCAUCUUUAAUUUGACAUUUACCUUGGUUAGUUCUCUAAUCAAUCUGGAAAGUAAGCACACUUCUGGUACUAUAUUAAGUUUCCAGAGAAUUUAUCUUCUUAAAAAAGAGCAAAUAUUUCAAAACUGAAGUUGUAUCAGUGAAAAAAUAGUAUUGAAUUGUGUGAUUUAUUAAUAAGGGCCUGUUUUUAAACAUUGAGACAUUAUGAAUGCCUGAUUUUAGUAAAGUCAGAAAUGCUUAUUUUUUUCUGUAUUGAGAGAAUUAUAGAAAGGGAAAAAUGCUUUCUUAUUGAAGUUUGCUUAAGAAUUGGUUUUUUUUGUGGUACCUCUUAACUGAGAGUUCUAAAGUUGCACCUGAUUCCGAAACACUAGACUAGGGUGUGAAAUUCAGUUUAAAUCAAAUACAUUUCCAGAAGAUUUAUCAAAUUCUAAAGCUUCCUAUACUGAAGUGACCAUCCCACUCAAAUGUCUUUAUUUGUAGAUGGAGCUAGUGAGUCCCAGCAUGUUUCUGAGUAAUCAAGGUUACAGAGCUAGUGAUGGAAUGUAGACCAGAAUUUGGAUCUGCUGACUUCCAGACCAUCGCUGUUGCCCUUCUGUUUCAGAGCCCCAUUGAAAUCCAUUCGAAGAACAAUACUUUGCACUUCUGUAGACCUGAGUCCAAGAGGCAGUGCUACACAUGGGAGAGUGCCUGGCGUGGGCUUUGAAGGAGAUCCGAGUUUGAAUCCUGGCCACUCUAUUAGGUGGGUGACUGAAAUUGGGCAUGUGACUUAAUCAUAGGAAAAAAAAAAAGGCAAAAAAACCCAAA